rnacentral:rRNA from 1 species
GACGGAGGAUGCAAGUGUUAUCCGGAAGCACUGGGCGUAAAGCGUCUGUAGGUGGUCAAAUAAGUCAACUGUUAAAUCUUGAGGCUCAACCUCAAAACCGCAGUCGAAACUAUUAGACUAGAGUAUAGUAGGGGUAAAGGGAAUUUCCAGUGGAGCGGUGAAAUGCGUAGAUAUUGGGAGGAACACCGGUGGCGAAGGCGGCCCCCUGGACCGGUACUGACGCUGAGGCGCGAAAGCGUGGGUAGCAAACGGG